rnacentral:tRNA from 1 species
GGGCGAUUAGCUCAGCCGGAAGAGCAUCUGCUUUACACGCAGGGGGUCGGCAGUUCGAGCCUGUCAUCGCCCACCA